rfam:Erwinia carotovora subsp. atroseptica SCRI1043, complete genome
GAGGUUGCUAACACAGUCCGUAGAGCGGGAGUAACGGAUAGAUCGUAAAGACGCUGUGAACACAUCCCUGUGCGCUCGGCUUGCGCCAUCCUUGGCGCAAACGCUUU